UACGUAGGGUGCGAGCGUUAAUCGGAAUUACUGGGCGUAAGCGUGCGCAGGCGGCUUUGCAAGACAGAUGUGAAAUCCCCGGGCUCAACCUGGGAACUGCAUUUGUGACUGCAAGGCUAGAGUACGGCAGAGGGGGAUGGAAUUCCGCGUGUAGCAGUGAGAUGCGUAGAUAUGCGGAGGAACACCGAUGGCGAAGGCAAUCCCCUGGGCCUGUACUGACGCUCAUGCACGAAAGCGUGGGGAGCAAACAGG
rnacentral:rRNA from 1 species